rnacentral:lncRNA from 1 species
UUCCUAACAGCUAAAACCUGGGAAUGGCCCAGAUGUUUCUGAGUGGGUGAAUGGUGAAAUAGACUGUGGUACAUCUAUACUGUGAAUUACCACUCAGCAAGAAAAAGGAGCUUUAAACCACAGAUACACACAACUUGGUUGGAUUUCAAGGGAGUUAUUCAAAAAAAGGAGAGCCAAUAUCAAAAGGCCUUCAGAGUAGAACUGGAAUUGUACCACCAGCUCUUCUGAGUCUCCAGCUGGCAGACAGCAGGUGACGGGACUUCUUAGCCUCCAUGGUCAUGCCCCAGAUCAAGACGCAUCACAUCCAAGGAACCAUGUGCAGAAUUGAUAUGGAGUUUGAUGCCAUGAUUGAAUGAGAGUUUGAGGGUCUUGGGAGGGUGCGAGCAUAUUUUGCAUGUAGAAGGGAUGUGAAUAAUUAAGACCAGAGGACAGACUGAGACAAAUUAAUUACACCUGUUGAACCUGUGCCCACAUCCUUUGCAAUGUGACUUUGUUGCUCUUCCCUUGGAUUUGGUUGAAUUUGCUAAUUGCUUUUACCAAUAUCAUAUGGAGGGAGUAAUGCUAUGCCAGUUCUGUGCUUAGGACUUGAGACCUUUCACACUUCUACUUUCUCUUGGAAUCCUGCCUCCUCUAUGAGAACAAAGUUGACAAGUAUGCUAGAGUAUGAGAGACAAAUGACUUAGUUGUCACUGUCACCCCAUAGCUAUGACCGUAGAAAUCCACUAACCCUGAAAGCAGAGCCACCUAGCCAACCUGUAGCUAACUGCAGACAUAUACUGGAGCACAACCAAGACCAGACGAACCACACAGCUAAGCCCAGGCUAAAUUGCCAGCCUGAAGAAUUGUGAACUAAAUAAAUGUUUGUUGUUUUAAG